UUGUACACACCGCCCGUCAAGCCAUGGGAGCCGGGGGUACCUGAAGUGCGUGACCGCAAGGAGCGCCCUAAGGUAAAACCGGUGACUGGGGCUAAGUCGUAACAAGGUACC
rnacentral:rRNA from 1 species